AGCGGAGGAAAAGAAACCAACCGGGAUUGCCUUAGUAACGGCGAGUGAAGCGGCAAAAGCUCAAAUUUGAAAUCUGGUACCUUCGGUGCCCGAGUUGUAAUUUGGAGAGGGCAACUUUGGGGCCGUUCCUUGUCUAUGUUCCUUGGAACAGGACGUCAUAGAGGGUGAGAAUCCCGUGUGGCGAGGAGUGCGGUUCUUUGUAAAGUGCCUUCGAAGAGUCGAGUUGUUUGGGAAUGCAGCUCUAAGUGGGUGGUAAAUUCCAUCUAAAGCUAAAUAUUGGCGAGAGACCGAUAGCGAACAAGUACAGUGAUGGAAAGAUGAAAAGAACUUUGAAAAGAGAGUGAAAAAGUACGUGAAAUUGUUGAAAGGGAAGGGCAUUUGAUCAGACAUGGUGUUUUGUGCCCUCUGCUCCUUGUGGGUAGGGGAAUCUCGCAUUUCACUGGGCCAGCAUCAGUUUUGGUGGCAGGAUAAAUCCAUAGGAAUGUAGCUUGCCUCGGUAAGUAUUAUAGCCUGUGGGAAUACUGCCAGCUGGGACUGAGGACUGCGACGU
rnacentral:rRNA from 1 species